rnacentral:rRNA from 1 species
CCUACGGGUGGCAGCAGUGAGGAAUAUUGGUCAAUGGACGAGAGUCUGAACCAGCCAAGCAGCGUGAAGGAUGACUGCACUGUGGGUUGUAAACUUCUUUUAUAUGGGAAUAAAAUGUUCCACGUGUGGGAUUUUGUAUGUACCUUAUGAAUAAGGAUCGGCUAACUCCGUGCCAGCAGCCGCGGUAAUACGGAGGAUCCGAGCGUUAUCCGGAUUUGUUGGGUUUAAAGGGAGCGUAGGUGGAUUGUUAAGUCAGUUGUGAAAGGUUGCGGCUCAACCGUAAAAUUGCAGUUGAAACUGGCAGUCUCGAGUACAGUAGAGGUGGGCGGAAUUCGUGGUGUAGCGGUGAAAUGCUUAGAUAUCACGAAGAACUCCGAUUGCGAAGGCAGUUCACUGGACUGAAACUGACACUGAGGCUCGAAAGUGUGGGUAUCGAACAGGAUUAGAUACCCGAGUAGUC